AUCUCGUGUCUGUUUCUCUUUCUCUCUCCCUCUCUUGCGCUGUCCCUCAUUCAUUCACUCUUCCAUCUUUUUGCCAUUGUGCCAGCUCAGUUUAAAUGUAUCUGCUCUGUAUCUGUUCAAGUGGAGAUAAUCCAUGCAAAUCAGGAGCAGCGGCGUUCAGUGCUUGGUGCACAGAGAGGACUCAGCUUGAAGAGGUCACUCGUUCACAGCCGCUCCUCCCAUGACAUUUUUCCCCUUAUUGCAGAACUGCUGUAUGUAUACAGUGACUGAAAGGACUCAAUUUACUGCAACUGCUGCCUGGCUUUACUCACAACUUUUCUUUUUUAUAAAGGAACUUACCUCCAUCUGUCUUUUCAAGGGUAGAAAAGGUCCCUUUAACUCCUGAAGACAGUAAAUCAGAGUUUGUGUGGUGGUUCUCAGAAGACACUUAAAGGACUGAACUGGAUGCUCUACAUAGCACCUCUGCCAAAAGAGUUCGGAAAUGACUUCCAGCUUCCCACAGUAAUAAAAUGGCACUGUUUGGCAUCUUUGAGGUCACAGACCACUUACUCUAGCCCUCGCAGCUAGUUCUGAAGAACAUGGAGCCUUCAUAGAUUCACAAGGACAAGAACUCAUCAUAAUGGACUUGAUAAUACAACACUAGCAGACCUGCUGUGUGCAGUGCCCAUCUGAGUUAGAGCUUUUAGCGUGGUUAAUUGAUACAGUUACUCCAGAACAAGUCUAUGAGGCAUUUUGUGUGGCUCUAAGUUUUAAAAGCCGCUCUUUUUCCCUUUGACAGGGCUGCCUAUUCUUCAGACAGACCUCAUUAUCAUUUACCUUUACAUGAGGGGUGGCAUAUAAUUACUGCCUAGUAAAUAGUUUCUUUUGCAAUAUCUAUGAUGUUCAAAGACAGCAGAGUUCAAAAAGGUCCAGGGGAAGGGAAGUCUGUAGCCUUCCGAGAAUGACAAAUAGCCACCAGGGAGAGAAAAGAAA